rnacentral:rRNA from 1 species
UACGUAGGGGGCAAGCGUUGUCCGGAUUUAUUGGGCGUAAAGAGCGUGUAGGCGGCCAGACAGGUCAGCUGUGAAACUCGAGGCUCAACCUCGAGACGUCGGUUGAAACCGUCUGGCUAGAGUCCGGAAGAGGAGAGUGGAAUUCCCGGUGUAGCGGUGAAAAUGGCGCAGAUAUCGGGGAGGAACACCAGUUGGCGAAGGCGACUAUCUGGGCUGCAACUGACGCUGGAGGCGACG